rnacentral:rRNA from 1 species
UACGAAGGGGGCUAGCGUUGCUCGGAAUCACUGGGCGUAAAGGGUGCGUAGGCGGGUCUUUUAAGUCAGGGGUGAAAUCCUGGAGCUCAACUCCAGAACUGCCUUUGAUACUGGAGAGCUUGAGUCCGGGAGAGGUGAGUGGAACUGCGAGUGUAGAGGUGAAAUUCGUAGAUAUUCGCAAGAACACCCGUGGCUAAGGCGGUUCUCUAGUACGGUACUGACGCUGAGACGCGAAAGCGUGGGGAGCGAACAGG